GACGGUGGCAGGGCAACCAAUAUCAAUUAGUCAGUUAACUUGAGAGCCAAAGAAAGCACAAUGUCAAAGCCCUAGCAGCUAAUAUAUAUAUAAAUACACUGAAGGAAUGCAUCUUUUCGCAUUUGGAAGGCGUGGGUCCGACUGUGGAAUAAGCACGUGGCCCAUGGACAGCAUGCCGAGGCCGCCCAGCUCUUUGGGAGUGUAGAAGACUACAGGAGGGAAACGGCUAGGCAUUUUGGAGUUCAGGCCGAUCUUGAUACGCGUCUGGAUCUUGUUCUCGCACUUCACCAGCAGGUCCAGGAGCUCCUGGGUGUUGACCACGGCCUCGCGGAAGUACGUCAUCAGACCGAUCAGAGCUGUGUUCCAUUUGUUCACAAUCUGGAGUUUUUUGGGAAAGGUUGUCAGCUGACCUUGGUGAAUGUGGUGGAUCCAGAGGCCAUCAGGAUCUGACGCACUCUGUUGUGGAAGCGCUGCAUCGACUCAUCGUCCACACGCAAGAAGCACUGUGCUGUCCUUUCUUUGGUCACCUACACAUAGAAAUACGAUACAGAGAACUUUAAA